GACGAACGCUGGCGGCGUGCUUAACACAUGCAAGUCGAACGGAAAGGCCCUGCUUUUGUGGGGUGCUCGAGUGGCGAACGGGUGAGUAACACGUGAGUAACCUGCCCUUGACUUUGGGAUAACUUCAGGAAACUGGGGCUAAUACCGGAUAGGAUCUCCUGCUGCAUGGUGGGGGUUGGAAAGUUUCGGCGGUUGGGGCUGGACUCGCGGCUUAUCAGCUUGUUGGUGUGGUAGUGGCUUACCAAGGCUUUGACGGGUAGCCGGCCUGAGAGGGUGACCGGCCACAUUGGGACUGAGAGACGGCCCAGAAUCCUACGGGAGGCAGCAGUGGGGAAUAUUGCACAAUGGGCGGAAGCCUGAGGCAGCAACGCCGCGUGCGGGAUGACGGCCUUCGGGUUGUAAACCGCUUUCGCAUGUGACGAAGAGGGAGUGACGGUAAUGGGUAAAGAAGCACCGGCUAACUACGUG
rnacentral:rRNA from 1 species